GCAUUUGAAACCAUGACGAUAAGAAGAGUCCUUCAGCUUCUCAGGGCCGCUGAAAGGACUCCACGCGUAGGGAAGGGACCCCCAUGGGCUCUGCUGGAGGACUCAGCUGACACGUGGUUUCUCUAUCUGAAGGGCUAACCUGCUGGAUGGUGAGGAAACUGAGAAUCCCCAGGCGAGAGUCAGCACCCACUGCCAGAUCUUGACUAAGACCAUCUUGGAUC